UAGGGAAUCUUCCGCAAUGGACGAAAGUCUGACGGAGCAACGCCGCGUGAGUGAAGAAGGUUUUCGGAUCGUAAAACUCUGUUGUCAGGGAAGAACAAGUAUCGGAGUAACUGCCGGUACCUUGACGGUACCUGACCAGAAAGCCACGGCUAACUACGUGCCAGCAGCCGCGGUAAUACGUAGGUGGCAAGCGUUGUUCGGAAUUAUUGGGCGUAAAGCGCGCGCAGGCGGCCUUUUAAGUCUGAUGUGAAAGCCCCCGGCUCAACCGGGGAGGGUCAUUGGAAACUGGAAGGCUUGAGUGCAGAAGAGAAGAGCGGAAUUCCACGUGUAGCGGUGAAAUGCGUAGAGAUGUGGAGGAACACCAGUGGCGAAGGCGGCUCUUUGGUCUGUAACUGACGCUGAGGCGCGAAAGCGUGGGGAGCGAACAGGAUUAGAUACCCUGGUAGUCCACGCCGUAAACGAUGAGUGCUAAGUGUUGGGGGGUUUCGCCCCGUCAGUGCUGCAGCUAACG
rnacentral:rRNA from 1 species